GCACGAAACUUGCCCCGAGAUGAGUUCUCCCUGAGACUUAGAGUCUCCUGAAGGAACGUUGAAGACGACGACGUUGAUAGGCCGGGUGUGUAAGCGCAGCGAUGCGUUGAGCUAACCGGUACUAAUGAACCGUGAGGCUUAACCUU
rnacentral:rRNA from 2 species